rnacentral:rRNA from 1 species
GACGAACGCUGGCGGCGUGCUUAACACAUGCGAGUCGAACGGAAAGGCCCUGCUUUUGUGGGGUGCUCGAGUGGCGAACGGGCGAGUAACACGUGAGUAACCUGCCCUUGACUUUGGGAUAACUUCAGGAAACUGGGGCUAAUACCGGAUAGGAGCUCCUGCUGCAUGGUGGGGGUUGGAAAGUUUCGGCGGUUGGGGAUGGACUCGCGGCUUAUCAGCUUGUUGGUGGGGUAGUGGCUUACCAAGGCUUUGACGGGUAGCCGGCCUGAGAGGGUGACCGGCCACAUUGGGACUGAGAUACGGCCCAGACUCCUACGGGAGGCAGCAGUGGGGAAUAUUGCACAAUGGGCGGAAGCCUGAUGCAGCAACGCCGCGUGCGGGAUGACGGCCUUCGGGUUGUAAACCGCUUUCGCCUGUGACGAAGCGUGAGCGACGGUAAUGGGUAAAGAAGCACCGGCUAACUACGUG